UGCAGUCGAACGAAUCCCAUCUGGGUAACUGGGUGGGGGAAGUGGCGAAAGGGGCAGUAAGGCGUGGGCAACCUACCCCGGGGAUCGGGAUAGCCGUCCUAACGGACGGAUAAUACCGGGCGAUCUGGCGAGGAGGCAUCUUCUGGCCAGGAAAUGAAUUUCGCCUCGGGAGGGGCUCACGUAGUAUUAGCUUGUUGGCGGGGUAACGGCCCACCAAGGCCAAGAUGCUUAGCGGGUGUGAGAGCACGACCCGCGCCACUGGCACUGAGACACUGGCCAGACUCCUACGGGAGGCUGCAGUCGAGGAUCUUCGGCAAUGGGCGCAAGCCUGACCGAGCGACGCCGCGUGUGCGAUGAAGGCCUUCGGGUUGUAAAGCACUGUCGAGGGGGAGAAAAGCCCGCAAGGGUCUGAUCUAUCCCUGGAGGAAGCACGGGCUAAGUUCGUGCCAGCAGCCGCGGUAAGACGAACCGUGCGAACGUUGUUCGGAUUCACUGGGCUUAAAGGGCGCGUAGGCGGACGGUCAAGUCGGGGGUGAAAUCUUUCAGCUUAACUGGAAACGUGCCUUCGAUACUGAUCGUCUCGAGGGAGGUAGGGGCAUGCGGAACUUCCGGUGGAGCGGUGAAAUGCGUAGAUAUCGGAAGGAACGCCGGUGGCGAAAGCGGCGUGCUGGACCUCUUCUGACGCUGAGGCGCGAAAGCCAGGGGAGCGAACGGGAUUAGAUACCCCGGUAGUCCUGGCCCUAAACGAUGGGUACUAGAUUGUGGACUUAACAUGGGUUCCCAAUCGAAGCUAAAGUGUUAAGUACCCCGCCUGGGGAGUAUGGUCGCAAGGCUGAAACUCAAAGGAAUUGACGGGGGCUCACACAAGCGG
rnacentral:rRNA from 1 species